AAACCGCUUUGAUUUGGCUCCAUAACGCAGAACCUUGAUCACAGCUUCGUGUUUGUGCACUUUCUUGGACCUUAAAACCGAAGAAUGGUUAAUGGGUACCAUUGAAAUGGCUGGUUUGGGCAAAAGGGGCAAGUGGGUCUUCAAAAUAACUGGUGGGUUCUCUUCUUUUACUGCACACAUCACUGAAGUAGAAAGCUUUUUCAGCGAUUUUCCCGCGAGAUUUUCCGGUGAAAAAUUAGCAGGCUCCGGCUCUGAUUUGGCGGGAACGGGAAGGCAAAUGUAGAACACAGAGGAGCCAUUGUAUGCCAAAAGGAGAAACAGGGUAAGAGCUAGCAGGGAAGUGGGCAAGCAAUAAAGCAAAGCAAAGAUGGAUCUUUUAAAGUUCUGUAACUGUUGAAGAAAGAGAAGGAAACGCUGAGAAACUUGGGCGAUUAGGUACAUGGUGUCAGUAUUUGGUGUUUUAUGGUUAAAAUGGGCUACUGGGUUUUGCUUUCUGGCUCAUUAUGGAUUAGGAAGACGCUUAGCUAGAAGGAGGGAAGAGAGAUUUUAAUGGAGAAGGCGGCAAAAU
rnacentral:misc_RNA from 1 species